GAUGAAGAACGUAGCGAAAUGCGAUAAAUAAUGUGAAUUGCAGAAUUCAGUGAAUCAUCGAGUCUUUGAACGCACAUUGCGCCCCCUGGUAUUCCGGGGGGCAUGCCUGUCCGAGCGUCAUUGCUGCCCUCAAGCACGGCUUGUGUGUUGGGCCCCCGUCCCCCCCUCCCGGGGGGCGGGCCCGAAAGGCAGCGGCGGCACCGCGUCCGGUCCUCGAGCGUAUGGGGCUUUGUCACCCGCUCUGUAGGCCCGGCCGGCGCCUGCCGACCACCAUCAAUCUUUUUUCAGGUUGACCUCGGAUCAGGUAGGGAUACCCGCUGAACUUAAGCAUAUCAAUAAGCGGAGGA
rnacentral:misc_RNA from 1 species